rnacentral:rRNA from 1 species
UACGUAGGUGGCAAGCGUUGUCCGGAAUUAUUGGGCGUAAAGCGCGCGCAGGCGGUCCUUUAAGUCUGAUGUGAAAGCCCACGGCUUAACCGUGGAGGGUCAUUGGAAACUGGGGGACUUGAGUGCAGAAGAGGAGAGUGGAAUUCCACGUGUAGCGGUGAAAUGCGUAGAUAUGUGGAGGAACACCAGUGGCGAAGGCGGCUCACUGGCCCGGUACUGACGCUGAGGUGCGAAAGCGUGGGGAGCAAACAGG